rnacentral:rRNA from 1 species
UACGAAGGGGGCUAGCGUUGCUCGGAAUCACUGGGCGUAAAGCGCACGUAGGCGGUCUCUUAAGUCGGUGGUGAAAUCCUGGAGCUCAACUCCAGAACUGCCUUCGAUACUGAGAGUCUCGAGUCCGGGAGAGGUGAGUGGAACUGCGAGUGUAGAGGUGAAAUUCGUAGAUAUUCGCAGGAACACCAGUGGCGAAGGCGGCUCACUGGCCCGGUACUGACGCUGAGGUGCGAAAGCGUGGGGAGCAAACAGG